GCGCGGGUGGCGGAAUUGGCAGACGCGCUACUUUGAGGUGGUAGUGCCCGUAAGGGCUUGGAGGUUCAAAUCCUCUCCCGCGCA
rnacentral:tRNA from 1 species